GGGGUUCUUUGAUAUGCUGAAUCUAACCAUGUAUUUAGAUUUUUUAUUUGUGGCCCAGUUUUCAAGUUGGUCCAAAUUGGGGUCCAAAAUUAAACUUUGUUUGAUUUCAACAAAAAUUGAAUAUAUGGGGUUCUUUGAUAUGCUGAAUCUAACCAUGUAUUUAGAUUUUUUAUUUGUGGCCCAGUUUUCAAGUUGGUCCAAAUUGGGGUCCAAAAUUAAACUUUGUUUGAUUUCAACAAAAAUUGAAUAUAUGGGGUUCUUUGAUAUGCUGAAUCUAACCAUGUAUUUAGAUUUUUGAUUUUUGGGCCCCGUUAUCAACUUUGUCCACAUUGAGGUCAAAAGGGUCCAAAAUUAAACUUUGUUUGAUUUUAACAAAAAUUGAAUUCUUGGGGUUCUUUGAUAUGCUGAAUCUAAACAUGUGUUUAGAUUUUUGAUAAUGGGCCCAGUUUUCAAGUUGGUCCAAAUUGGGGUCCAAAAUUAAACUUUGUUUGAUUUCAACAAAAAUUGAAUAUAUGGGAUUAAUUGAUAUGCUGAAUCUAACCAUGUAUUUAGAUUUUUUAUUUAUGGCCCAGUUUUCAAGUUGGUCCAAAUUGGGGUCCAAAAUUAAACUUUGUUUGAUUUCAACAAAAAUUGAAUAUAUGGGGUUCUUUGAUAUGCUGAAUCUAACCAUGUAUUUAGAUUUUUUAUUUGUGGCCCAGUUUUCAAGUUGGUCCAAAUUGGGGUCCAAAAUUAAACUUUGUUUGAUUUCAACAAAAAUUGAAUAUAUGGGGUUCUUUGAUAUGCUGAAUCUAACCAUGUAUUUAGAUUUUUGAUUUUUGGGCCCCAA